rnacentral:lncRNA from 1 species
UGCUAUAGAUUUACCAAUUUGAAGCUAGUUUUGUACCACCGACAUGAGGUUUGAUCUAAAUCACCAAAACUAGUAGAAAUAAAAGUUGUAUUAUUAAAAGAACAUUUUACUUGUGAUUUGCGAAUUGAAUCAGUUACAAGGAUGAAUUAAUGGAGCAUAUGAUGGUAUUUCCAGUUAGAAAAUUUAGCUAGAUCCAUGGUGUUCGAUUCUAUGCUACAAAAACACAAAAUAUUAUUGAGGGUCCAAAUUCAAUUACUCCAAAACCUUAAGCUCUCGAAGAACAGUUGUUCUAAUAUUUUUUUUGUUACCCUAGUGCAAGUGGCAAAGAAUUUGGUGGUUGGUAUAUGAGGUUUCAAGUUCGAAUCCUAAUUGAUUCAUAUUUUCAGUUAAGUUUAUUUCUAAAUGAAAUAAACGAAACGGAUAGCAUUCUAUCUAUCUCUCAAAAAACAUAUUUUUUUGUUAACACUUCUCAUAUUUGGACUCAAGAGUUUUCAAUAGAUUCAAGAUAGAGUGAAAUUAAAUAGAAGCAGAUUAAACAAAGAGCCCGGCGAAAUUUGAGCUAAAAAUGUCCUGUUCUUAUAUUAUGUAAAAUUUUUGCAAUUCAUGUCAUAACCCAUUUUAAUCCAAUUACCUCUUUUUUUAAAAAAAAAUAAAUUGCAAUUUGGCUACUCAACCUUUUUUGAUUCAUUUGGGACUUGAUUAGUGAAUUAGGCGUAAUUUGACGAUGCAUCCAUCCUAAUUUUGAAACAAAAGAGUCACCUGAUGUCUCAAACCAAACAAAUUAAAAAAAAAAUUAAUUUCAUAUAAGUCCCGCAAACAUAGUAAAUUACAAAUAGAUCCCUAUAAAAUUCAAUUUUUAUAUAUUAUCUUUACAAAAAUCCUAAUAUUUUCAAAUAUGUUCCUGUCAUUAGAUCCCUUAGGAAAAAUUAGUUAACCAUAGAUAAAAUAUUUAACCCUAAUUAGUUAAUAAAAUAAAUUGACCUUUUUACACCUAUUCAAUUAACAAUAAAAACUUUUAAUGUUUUCAAAUAUAUCUCUAUCAUUAGAUCUCUUAGUAAAAAUUAGUUAACCAUAGAUAAAAUAUUUAACCCUAAUUAGUUAAUAAAAUAAAUUGACCUUUUUACACCUAUUCAAUUAACAAUAAAAACUUUUGGAGGGACAUAUUUAUGAUAACAAAAAAGUUAUUUCACUUAAAAAAUAAAUAGUACUUUAACGGUAACAAACCAAAAAAAUAUAUUUAAAAAUAUUAGAACUUUUCUAGAAACGACAUAUAAAAGUUGAACUUUGUAAGAAUAUAUUUGCAAUUCACUAUAUUUGCAGCGACCCGUAUGAAAUUAACCCAAUUAAGAAACUAAGUACCAAAAUCAAACUC